CAAAGGGUAGUUUAUUUUAAAAUACUAGUUUUGGGGACUAGAGAUAGGUUUCCUUCCUUUGA
rnacentral:tRNA from 1 species